rnacentral:rRNA from 1 species
AGGUCAAGCUACAAAGGGCGCAUGGUGAAUGCCUUGGCACUAGGAGCCGAAGAAGGACGCGAUAAGCUGCGAUAAGCCUUGGGUAGCCGCAAAUAGGCUGAGAUCCAGGGAUUUCCGAAUGAGGAAACUCACAUGGGUAACCCCAUGUAUCAUGCACUGAAUACAUAGGUGUAUGAGGGUAAACCCGGGGAACUGAAACAUCUAAGUACCCGGAGGAAGAGAAAGAAAAAUCGAUUUCCUAAGUAGCGGCGAGCGAACGGGAAAGAGCCCAAACCAGAAACUUGUUUCUGGGGUUGUGGAUAGAUCAUAAAAGAAGAGGUAUCUUAAUCGAAGAGGGCUGGAACGCCCUACCAUAGAAGGUAAUAGUCCUGUAGAUAAAAAGAGAAAACUUCGAGAUCUAAUCCAGAGUACCACGAGACACGUGAAACCUUGUGGGAAGCAGGGAGGACCACCUCCCAAGGCUAAAUACUACCUAGUGACCGAUAGUGAAGCAGUACCGUGAGGGAAAGGUGAAAAGAACCCCGGAAGGGGAGUGAAAUAGAACCUGAAACCGUGUGCCUACAACCGAUCGGAGCACGUUAAAGUGUGACGAUGUGCUUUUUGUAGAACGAGCCAGCGAGUUACGCUAUGUAGCAAGGUUAAGUACUUAAGGUAUGGAGCCGAAGGGAAACCGAGUCUGAAAAGGGCGAAAAGUUGCAUGGUGUAGACCCGAAACCGGGUGACCUAUCCAUGGCCAGGUUGAAGCGAGAGUAAAAUCUCGUGGAGGACCGAACCACGUUGGUGUUGAAAAACCAUGGGAUGAGCUGUGGAUAGCGGAGAAAUUCCAAUCGAACUCGGAGAUAGCUGGUUCUCCUCGAAAUAGCUUUAGGGCUAGCGUCGUGUAAUUGAGUAAUGGAGGUAGAGCACUGAAUGGGCUAGGGGCUAUAGUAGUUACCGAACCCUAUCAAACUCCGAAUGCCAUAUACUUGUAUCACGGCAGUCAGACUGCGAAUGAUAAGAUCCGUAGUCAAAAGGGAAACAGCCCAGACCAUCAGCUAAGGUCCCAAAGUGUAAGUUAAGUGGAAAAGGAUGUGGGAUUUCUAAGACAACUAGGAUGUUGGCUUAGAAGCAGCCACUCAUUUAAAGAGUGCGUAAUAGCUCACUAGUCAAGAGAUCCUGCGCCGAAGAUGUCCGGGGCUCAAACUUACCACCGAAGCUAUGGGUGUACACUAUGUGUACGCGGUAGAGGAGCUUUCUGUAUGGGUUGAAGUCGUACCGUAAGGAGCGGUGGACUGUACAGAAGUGAGAAUGCUGGCAUAAGUAGCGAGAAAUAAGUGAGAAUCUUAUUGGCCGAAAACCUAAGGUUUCCUGAGGAAGGUUCGUCCGCUCAGGGUUAGUCGGGACCUAAGCCGAGGCCGAAAGGCGUAGGUGAUGGACAAUCGGUUGAUAUUCCGAUACCGCCUAUUUACGUUUGAGAAAUGGGGUGACGCAGUAGGAUAAGAUGUGCGCACUAUUGGAUGUGCGUCUAAGCACUUAGGCAUGCUUGAUAGGCAAAUCCGUCGAGCUAAGCUGAGGUGUGAUGGGGAGCCAUUUAUGGCGAAGUAUCUGAUUCCACACUGCCAAGAAAAGCCUCUAUCGAGUGAAUAGGUGCCCGUACCGCAAACCGACACAGGUAGGUGAGGAGAGAAUCCUAAGGCCAUCGGAAGAAUUGCUGUUAAGGAACUCGGCAAAUUGACCCCGUAACUUCGGGAGAAGGGGUGCCUACGAAAGUAGGCCGCAGAGAAUAGGCCCAAGCAACUGUUUAGCAAAAACACAGGUCUCUGCUAAAGCGAAAGCUGAUGUAUAGGGGCUGACGCCUGCCCGGUGCUGGAAGGUUAAGGGGAACACUUAGCGUAAGCGAAGGUGUGAACUUAAGCCCCAGUAAACGGCGGCCGUAACUAUAACGGUCCUAAGGUAGCGAAAUUCCUUGUCGGGUAAGUUCCGACCCGCACGAAUGGCGUAAUGAUUUGGGCACUGUCUCAACAGCAAAUCCGGCGAAAUUGUAGUGCAAGUGAAGAUGCUUGCUACCCGCGAUUGGACGGAAAGACCCCGUAGAGCUUUACUGUAGCUUAGCAUUGAAUCUCGGUAUUGUCUGUACAGGAUAGGUGGGAGACUUGGAA